GGAGGGCUGUAGCUCAGAGGUAGAGCACAUGGAUUGCAUGCACAAGGUCCCAGGUUCAAUCCCCGGCAUCUCCA